rnacentral:rRNA from 1 species
UACAGAGGGUGCAAACGUUGCUCGGAAUUAUUGGGCGUAAAGCGCGUGUAGGCGGCUUGUUAAGUUGGUUGUGAAAACCCAUGGCUCAACCAUGGAAGGGCGUCCAAAACUGGCAAGCUAGAGUCCCGACGAGGAUGGCGGAAUUCCCAGUGUAGAGGUGAAAUUCGUAGAUAUUGGGAGGAACACCGGUGGCGAAGGCGGCAUCCUGGACCAACACUGACGCUGAUGAGCGAAAGCCAGGGGAGCAAACGGGG